rnacentral:rRNA from 1 species
AGCAGCCGCGGUAAUUCCAGCUCCAAUAGCGUAUAUUAAAGUUGUUGCAGUUAAAAAGCUCGUAGUCGAACUUCGGAUCUGGCGGGAUGGUCCGCCUUACGGUGUGUACUGUCCGGCCGGAUCUUACCUCUUGGUGAAGCCGUAUGCCCUUUACUGGGUGUGCGGUGGAACCAGGAAUUUUACUUUGAGAAAAUUAGAGUGUUCAAAGCAGGCAUACGCCCGAAUACAUUAGCGUGGAAUAAUAGAAUAGGACGUGCGGUUCUAUUUUGUUGGUUUCUAGGAUCGCCGUAAUGAUUAAUAGGGACGGUCGGGGGCAUUAGUAUUCCGUUGCUAGAGGUGAAAUUCUUAGAUUUACGGAAGACUAACUUCUGCGAAAGCAUUUGCCAAGGACGUUUUCAUUGAUCAAGAACGAAGGUUAGGGGAUCAAAGACGAUCAGAUACCGUCGUAGUCUUAACCAUAAACUAUGCCGACUAGGGAUCGGAUGAUGUUAAUUUUAUAAUGACUCA